AUUGAACGCUGGCGGCAGGCCUAACACAUGCAAGUCGAGCGAGCGGCGGACGGGUGAGUAAUGUCUGGGAAACUGCCUGAUGGAGGGGGGUAACUACUGGAAACGGUAGCUAAUACCGCAUACCCUCAGAUUUGCCCAGAUGGGAUUCGCGAGUAGGUGGGGUAAAGGCUCACCUAGGCGACGAUCCCUAGCUGGUCUGAGAGGAUGACCAGCCAGACUGGGACUGAGACACGGCCCAGACUCCUACGGGAGGCAGCAGUGGGGAAUUUUGGACAAUGGGGGAAACCCUGAUCCAGCCAGCCCGCGUGUGGGAUGAAGGCCUUCGGGUUGUAAAGCACUUUUGGCAGGAAAGCGGUACCUGCAGAAUAAGCACCGGCUAACUACGUGCCAGCAGCCGCGGUAAUUC
rnacentral:rRNA from 1 species